UACAGGGGGUGCAAGCGUUGUUCGGAAUUACUGGGCGUAAAGCGCGGGCAGGUGGCCUUUUAAGUCCUUUGUGAAAUCCCGGAGCUCAACUCCGGAUGUGCAUAGGAUACUGGAAGGCUUGGGACUGGUAGAGGCGAGCGGAAUUCCUGGUGUAGCGGUGGAAUGCGUAGAUAUCAGGAAGAACACCGGUGGCGAAGGCAGCUCGCUGGGCCAGAUCCGACACUCAUCCGCGAAAGCGUGGGGAGCAAACAGG
rnacentral:rRNA from 1 species